rnacentral:rRNA from 1 species
CCCUUAGAUGUUCUGGGUCGCACGCGCGCUACACUGAUGCAUUCAACGAGUCUAAAACCUGCUCUGAUAGGGGUGGGUAAUCUUUUGAAUGUGCAUCGUGAUUGGGAUAGAUGAUUGCAAUUUUUCAUCUUCAACGAGGAAUGCCUAGUAAACGCAAGUCAUCAGCUUGCAUUGAUUACGUCCCUGCCCUUUGUACACACCGCCCGUCGCUCCUACCGAUUGAAUGAUCCGAUGAAUAUCAUGGAUUGAGGAUGUAAGCAGGUUCGCCUGUCUUCAUCUUCGAGAAGUGAAGUAAAUCUUAUCAUUUAGAGGAAGGAGAAGUCGUAACA